rnacentral:rRNA from 1 species
AGUGAACGCUGGCGGCGUACCUAAUACAUGCAAGUCGAACGGAGUGGCGCACGGGUGUGUAAUGUAUAGCUAAUCUGCCCUCCACCAGAGGACAACAGUUGGAAACGACCGCUAAUACUCUAUAGUGUAGGAUGAGGCUAUAUUGUAUCAGCUAGUUGUUGAGGUAAUGGCGCACCAAGGCUAUGACGCAUAACUGGUCUGAGAGGAUGAUCAGUCACACUGGAACGGAGACACGGUCCAGAAACAUACGGGAGGGAGCAGUAGGGGAUAUUGCUCAAGGGGGGAAGCCCAGAAGCAGCGUCGCCGCGUGGAGGAUGACACUUUUCGGAGCGUAAACUGCUUUUGUUAGGGAAGCGGUACCUAACGAAUAAGCACCGGCUAACUCCGUGCCAGCAGCCGCGGUAAUAC